CUACAAGCUGACAACGGACGAGAGUUCGACAGCCAUGCCGCCCGCGCCUUCUUCGAUACCUAUGGCAUCGCGUUUCGCAUGUCUUGCCCUUACACGUCUUCGCAAAACGGGCGUGCCGAGCGCAUGCUCCGCACCCUAAACGAGACUGUCCGUGCCCUGCUCACCCAAGCGUCCAUGCCGCCCACGUUCUGGGCCGAAGCUCUCGCCACGGCCACCUUCCUUCACAACCGUCGCCCGUGCCGUGUUCGCCAGUACCUUACUCCUUUUGAGCUUUUGUACUGCGCCCCUCCCGAUUAUAGUGGCAUCCGCGUCUUCGGAUGCCUCUGCUACCCGAACACCAGCGCCACUACCGCCCACAAGCUUGCGCCGCGCUCUGUUGCCUGCGUAUUCCUCGGCUACUCGUCGGAGCACAAGGGCUACCGGUGCCUCAACCGCGCCACCGGCCGCGUGCUCAUCUCCCGCCAUGUUUACUUCAACGAGGAACAAUUCCCCUUCGCCUCCAUUGAUGCCACACCCCUGCCUACUUCGGUCGUCGAGGACUUCCAGCCUCAGCCCUCGCCUCCGCCUACUGGGACACCAAGUGUGCCCUCCACAUGCCACCAGCAGCCUGCCGUAGCAGCGUCCAUUUCCUGCCGCCACAGCACCCCCGUUGUCACAUCCCUAGUCUGGUAUGACCUAGACUAG
rnacentral:rRNA from 1 species